rnacentral:rRNA from 1 species
GAUAAAACGCUGGCGGCGCACAUAAGACAUGCAAGUCGAACGGACUUAACUCAUUCUUUUUAGAUUGAGAGCGGUUAGUGGCGGACUGGUGAGUAACACGUAAGCAACCUGCCUAUUAGAGGGGAAUAACAGUGAGAAAUCAUUGCUAAUACCGCAUAUGCUAACAGUAUCGCAUGAUACAGUUAGGAAAGGAGCAAUCCGCUAAUAGAUGGGCUUGCGUCUGAUUAGAUAGUUGGCGGGGUAACGGCCCACCAAGUCGACGAUCGGUAGCCGGACUGAGAGGUUGAUCGGCCACAUUGGGACUGAGACACGGCCCAG